rnacentral:rRNA from 1 species
CCUACGGGAGGCAGCAGUGAGGAAUAUUGGUCAAUGGGCUUACGCCUGAACCAGCCAAGUCGCGUGAGGGAAGACUGCCCUAUGGGUUGUAAACCUCUUUUGUCAGGGAGCAAUUGGCGCUACGUGUAGCGUUAUCGAGAGUACCUGAAGAAAAAGCAUCGGCUAACUCCGUGCCAGCAGCCGCGGUAAUACGGAGGAUGCGAGCGUUAUCCGGAUUUAUUGGGUUUAACGGGUGCGUAGGCGGAAUGCCAAGUCAGCGGUAAAAUCGCGGGGCUAAACCUCGCUCCGCCGUUGAAACUGGCGGUCUUGAGUGGGCGAGAGGUAUGCGGAAUGCGUGGUGUAGCGGUGAAAUGCAUAGAUAUCACGCAGAACUCCGAUUGCGAAGGCAGCAUACCGGCGCCCAACUGACGCUGAAGCACGAAAGCGUGGGUAUCGAACAGGAUUAGAUACCCUUGUAGUC